rnacentral:rRNA from 1 species
AGUGAACGCUGGCGGCAGGCCUAAUACAUGCAAGUCGAACGGCAGCACAGUGAUAGCUUGCUCUUACGGGUGGCGACUGGCGGGCGGGUGAGGAGUACAUCACAUUCUUCUUUUUCGUGGCGGAUCACGUAGGGAAACUUACGCUCAUACCGCAUACGACCAACGGUUGGAAACAGUGGAUCUUCGCACCUUUCACGAUUGAUAUAGCCGAUGUCGGAUUAGCUAGUUGGCGGGGUAAAGGCCCACCAAGGCGAUGAACCGUAGCUGAUCUGAGAGGAGGAUCAGCCACACUGGAACGGAGACACGGUCCAGACCCGUCCGGGAGGCAGCAGUGGGGAAUAUUGGACAAUGGGCGCAAGCGUGGUCCAGCCAUGCCGCGUGGGGGACGAAGGCCUUCGGGUUGUAAAGCUCUUUUGUUGGGAAAGAAAAACAGCAGGAUAAACGUGCACCGUUCUGACGGUACCCAAAGAAUAAGCACCGGCUAACUCCGUG